CACGCCCUAAACGAUCUUCUCUAGGUUUUCGGAGUAUCGACCCUCUGAGAGCCACAGCUAACGCGUUAAGAGAAGCGCCUGGGUAGUACGACCGCAAGGUUAAAACUCAAAGGAAUAGACGGGGACUUGCACAAGCGGAGGAUCAUGUGGUUUAAUUCGAUGACAAACGAAGAACCUUACCAGGGUUAGAAAUCUAGUUGAAGAAUAGUAGAAACAUUAUUCGUCCGCAAGGACAAUUAGACAGGUGA
rnacentral:rRNA from 1 species